AGGUAAGCUACUAAGAGCGAAUGGUGGAUGCCUUGACUGGUAAAGGCGAUGAAGGACGUACUAGACUGCGAUAAGCUACGGGGAGCUGUCAAGAAGCUUUGAUCCGUAGAUUUCCGAAUGGGGCAACCCAAUGUAUAGAGAUAUACAUUACCUAUAUAGGAGCGAACGAGGGGAAUUGAAACAUCUUAGUACCCUCAGGAAAAGAAAUCAAUAGAGAUUGCGUCAGUAGCGGCGAGCGAAAGCGCAAGAGGGCAAACCCAGUGCUUGCACUGGGGGUUGUAGGACUGCAAUGUGCAAGAGCUGAGUUUAGCAGAACAUUCUGGAAAGUAUAGCCAUAGAGGGUGAUAGUCCCGUAUGCGAAAAACAAAGCUUAGCUAGCAGUAUCCUGAGUAGGGCGGGACACGAGAAAUCCUGUCUGAAUCCGGGUCGACCACGAUCCAACCCUAAAUACUAAUACCAGAUCGAUAGUGCACAAGUACCGUGAGGGAAAGGUGAAAAGAACUGAGGUGAUCAGAGUGAAAUAGAACCUGAAACCAUUUGCUUACAAUCAUUCAGAGCCCUAUGUAGCAAUACAGGGUGAUGGACUGCCUUUUGCAUAAUGAGCCUGCGAGUUGUGGUGUCUGGCAAGGUUAAGCAAACGCGAAGCCGUAGCGAAAGCGAGUCUGAAUAGGGCGCUUAGUCAGAUGCUGCAGACCCGAAACGAAGUGAUCUAUCCAUGAGCAAGUUGAAGCUAGUGUAAGAACUAGUGGAGGACUGAACCCAUAGGCGUUGAAAAGCCCCGGGAUGACUUGUGGAUAGGGGUGAAAGGCCAAUCAAACUUCGUGAUAGCUGGUUCUCUCCGAAAUAUAUUUAGGUAUAGCGUUGUGUCGUAAUAUAAGGGGGUAGAGCACUGAAUGGGCUAGGGCAUACACCAAUGUACCAAACCCUAUCAAACUUCGAAUACCUUAUAUGUAAUCACAGCAGUCAGGCGGCGAGUGAUAAAAUCCGUCGUCAAGAGGGAAACAACCCAGACUACCAGCUAAGGUCCCUAAAUCUUACUUAAGUGGAAAACGAUGUGAAGUUACUUAAACAACCAGGAGGUUGGCUUAGAAGCAGCCAUCCUUUAAAGAAAGCGUAAUAGCUCACUGGUCUAGUGAUUUUGCGCGGAAAAUAUAACGGGGCUAAAGUAAGUACCGAAGCUGUAGACUUAGUUUAC
rnacentral:rRNA from 1 species